AGCCAUGCAUGUCUAAGUAUAAGUAUUAUACAGCGAAACUGCGAAUGGCUCAUUAAAACAGUUAUGGUUUAUUUGAUAAUCGAAUUUUACAUGGAUAACCGUGGUAAUUCUAGAGCUAAUACAUGCUGGUGUGCCUGACUUUUCGGAAGGGCGGUAUUUAUUAGAUAACGAACCAAUAUUCCUCUGGUCUAUUGUGGUGAAUCAUAAUAACUGAUCGAAUCGCAAAGCCUUUGGCUGCGAUAUGUCAUUCAAGUUUCUGCCCCAUCAGCUUUCGAUGGUAGUGUAUUGGACUACCAUGGCUUUUACGGGUAACGGAGAAUUAGGGUUCGAUUCCGGAGAGGGAGCCUGAGAAACGGCUACCACAUCUAAGGAAGGCAGCAGGCGCGUAAACUACCCAAUCCUGACUCAGGGAGGUAGUGACAAGAAAUAACGGACCGGCCUUUCGAGGCUCGGGAUUGCAAUGAGCCGAAUUUACACCCCUUAGCGAGGACCCAUUGGAGGGCAAGUCUGGUGCCAGCAGCCGCGGUAAUUCCAGCUCCAAUAGCGUAUAUUAAAGUUGUUGCAGUUAAAAAGCUCGUAGUUGGAUUUCUGGGGAGGUGCCAAUGUCACCUUAGUGUUGCGCAGCGGCGCCUCUCCAUCCUUCUGUUAACGCCGUCGGUCCUUAAUCGGUCUGCGGCGGGCUCAGAUAUUUUACCUUGAGAAAAUUAGAGUGUUUCAGGCAGGCCAGGCCGGAAUACAUUAGCAUGGAAUAAUGGAAUAGGACUUUAGUCUCUUUGUUGGUUUGGGGGACUGCAGUAAUGAUUAAUAGGGAUAGUUGGGGCAUUAAUACUUAACUGUCAGAGGUGGAAUUCUCAGAUUUGUUAAAGAUUAACUUAUGCGAAAGCAUUUGCCAAGGAUGUUUUCAUUAAUCAAGAACGAAAGUUAGGGGAUCGAAGACGAUCAGAUA
rnacentral:rRNA from 1 species